UCCAAAUAAAAAAAGCAAUAAAAUUGUAUUAAAAAUAAAAAAAAAUGAAAGAAAGAAAAGAAACCUGCCAGAUAAUCAAACCUAUUGACAGAGAAAUCCAAACAGUCACUGUCUGGAAAUGGUAUUCAGUGUAAUACUAAUGGAAAGACUGAGAUGUUGAAGUCUCAACUAUAUCCCUUCCAGAUAUCAGUGUCAGACACAAAUUGCUCUACAGGUAUACAAAGCAUGGAGGCAUUUACACUGAGUUGAGGACACAAUACAUGUCUUUUCUUUGUUUCUUUGGACAUUUUUCUUCAGGGCAAAAAGAGUAAAAGCCAUGAGCUCUGAGGAGAACAACUGUGCCCUUCCCAACAACUAGCUUUUGGAAUGAAGAAAUUGAUUAUAUAAAAACUCUGAUUUACAGGAACCAUAAGAAAAGAGAAGUCCAGAUGCUUCUGAGAGGGUCCCAGCUCCUGAUUUGCAUAUGUGGAUGGCUCAGAUCAAGGCUAUCUGUUCAGCAAUGCCAGUCAUCCCCUACCAAGGAGUCACUGAGUUUUCCCAAGCACACAUAUUACUUCCCUUUUUUAGACAAAGGCAGAAUGGCAGUUUCCUUCUACCCAUUUCUGAUCUUUUCAUCCUCUUUGUUCUUACUCCAAAAUGGAUGUUUAUUCUGAAUUAGAUGCCUAUUACUGAACCCUAGAGGUACUGAAGGAAUACCUGAGAUGCAGAUGAAGUCAUGACAACAAUUGUGACAUCACAGAAGAAAAAUCUCUCCAGGUUACAAGAGAUUUUUCAGGCAAGGCCUAAUGAUGAUAUCACUGAGAACUGCCAUGGCCUACGUGCUGAACAGCUUUCCUUACAUUGACCAUAUUUGAGGGUGUCCUUUCCUGGAACCACUAGAAGCAGGGAAGUCCAGAUGCUUCUGACAUGCUCCAAGCUCCGAGCUCCUGAUCCCAUGUGUGGAAGGCUCAGAUCAAUUCUAUCUCUUCAAGACAGGAGGGUAGCAUUAUUGUCCUCUGCAAGACUCAACGGAGCAGCCGACUGACACAGGUGCACAGACAUACGGCCAAAUAUCGAAUGGAGCUCAGUGAGUCUCACUGAAGGGCUGAGGGAAGGGCAGACAGAGAAAGAGGAGCACAAUGAUCUUCAGGUGGGGUCACUAAACCAGUCGCUUGUCUGUGGAUCCUGUUCUCCUACCCGGGCUGCGUUUUCAGGACCUGGUGGGAGACGAUGAAUCUAGUUGAGUAGAGACUUGAUGUGCCAGGGGAGAGGGUGACCCAGAGGGGUCCUCCACUCUCUCAGAUAAGAAGGGGAGAGGAUAGAAGGAGGGAGUAUAAAUGGUAGGAGCCUGGAGGAGUGUGGUUCCAGGGCAGCAUUCAGAAUGCUACCUGGUGAAUAGAUGCAACCAUUCUAGCAAGGGACUCAGGCAUGACAUCACUGGGAAGGGGGCGGGACAUCAUGGGUGUGGGACAUGACAUCAUGGUGGUGGGGCAUGACAUCACGAUUAUCCAUCAGAAGUAAUUAUCUGGCUAAACAUUCAUCACGAGUGUCAGCUCCACAGGCUCACUGAAGAUCCUAAACCAUAGUUGUUAGUGAAGUUAUAUAUUGAAAAACACAGUCAAUAUCUUAUCUUGUGUCCUUUCACCUGUACCAAAUCGUUUGAUCUCUUUGUUUGACUCUUGAUAACUGUUUUGGAACCUCUUGGAAUGUGUUCUGAGUAGGAUUAAGUCUGUUUACCCUCUCAGAACAAUUAAAUGGUGACACCUGGGAGACUGGCAGAGUUGUCACUGGAAUUUUGACUAAUAGAAAGAGACUUAUAGCAGUCCCACUAUAAAAGAGCUUAAUAACCAUUGAUAUAAUUUUAAGAAUUAUUGUAGGAUCGUUAUUAAGACUAAAGAAUUCAUCUACUUGUCUGUAUACUAACACUACGGGACAGUACAACUUCAUAGGCCUGCAGAGAUGUGCUCCAAAGGUGCUAUAACUCAAUUAUUGUUAUAUAUGUCUAAUAAUAACAACAGGAAUAGCAUUUUAAUAGCAGGAAACUUUCCCAAAAUGAAUCCAUUACAGCCUUGCUUAAUAAGGGUGUACCAGUUGUGGAUUAUAAAGUAAUCCGAUGCUGUUCAUCUGAGGAUGAUCACCUGCCAGUUAUUAGCUUGUCCAGUCAUGGCUCCUGACACUUUCUUCUCAGUCCCACAUAGUACCUUCUCCAAAACUGACAAUAUGAUCCAUCACAAAACAGGCCUCAACAAAUACAAGAAGACUGAAUUAAUCCCUUGCAUCCUAUGAGAUCACUAAACACUAAGAAUGGUCUUCAAUAACAACAAGAACAACCAAAAACCCACAUAUACAUGGUAGCUCAGGAAUGAUUUACUCGAGGAGAACUUGUUCAAGGAAGAAAUAAAGAAAAAAUUAAAGACACUUUUGAAUUUAAUGAAAAUGAAGGCAUAACUUGGGAACACAAAAAAGAAAUUCUAAGAGGAAAACUCAUAGCUCUGAGAGCCUCCACAAAGAAACAAUUGCUAUGAUCCACUAGUAGUUUGACAGAACACCUGAAAUCUCAGAACCAAUACAAAUCCAAAUACACCAAGAGGACUAUACAGCAGGAAAUAAUCAAACUCCAGACUGAAAUCAACCAAGUAGAAACAAAAGGAAUUAUAUAAAGAAUCAACAAAACCAGGAGCUGGUUCUUUGAAAAAUCCAGAAAUAGGUAAAUCCUUAGUAUUCAAAUUAAAAAUAACAAAAUCAGAAUUGAAAUAGAGAUAUAACCAUUGAAAAUGAGAAAACUCGAAAAAUUAUCAGAUCCUACUAUAAAAGCCUAUGCUUAAAAAAACGGGAAAGUAAGGAAUAAAUGGAUAAUUUUCUAUUCAGAUACAAGUUACCAAAGUUGAAUCAGGAUCAGAUAAACCAUCUAAAUACUCCCAUAACUCAUAAAGUAGUAGAAGCAGUCAUUAAAUAUCUCCCAACCAAAGAUCCCAGGACUGGAAAGGUUUAGUACAGAAUUCUCUCAGACCUUCACAGAAUACCUAAUACCAAUAUUCUCCAAACUAUUCAACAAACUAGAAAUAGAAGAAACACUACACAAUUCUUUCUCUGAUGCCAUAGUUAUGCUUAUAACUAAAGCAAACAAAGACCCAUCAAAAAAAGAGAAUUUCAGACCAAUUUAUUCAUGAAUAUCCCUGCAAAUAUUCUCAGUAAAUUUCUUUCAAACCAAAUCCAAGAACACAUCAAAACAAUCAUCCAUCAUGAUCAAGUAGGCUUCAUCCUGGAGAUACUGGGAUUGUUUAAUAUACAGAACCUGAUCACUAAUCAAACUAAUCCCACUAUAAAAACAAAUUCAAAGAAAAGAAAACAAUUAAUUAUCUCAUUAGAUGCUGAGAAAGCAUUUUACAGUUAAAAGUCUUGGAAAUAUCUUAAAUUCAAGGACCAUACUGAAGCACAGUAAAAGCAAUAUACAGCAAACCAGUAGCCAGCAUCAAACUAAAUGGAGAGAAAUUUAAUGCAAUCCCACUAAAAUCAGGAACUAGACAAGGACACCCACUCUUUCCCUACCUUUUCAAUAUAGUAUUCGAAGUCCUAGCCAGAGUAAUUAGACAACAAAUGUAGGUAAACAGACUAAUAUUCCAAAUGAAGUAUUCAAAAUGUCACUAUGUGCAGAUGAUGUGGUAGUAUAUUUAAUUGGCCCCAAAAUUUCCACCAGUGAAUUUAUAAGCCUAAUAAACAACUUUAGCAAAGUGGCAGGGUAAAAAAUUGAUUCAAACAAAUCAGUACUCUACUCAAAAGAGAAAUAGACUGAGAAAGAAAUUACAGAAAUGACACACUUGACAACAGUCAAAAAGCAUAUGAAAUACUUCAGUGUGACUCUAACCAAGCAAGUGAAAGAUAUAUAUGACAAGAACAUAUGUCUCUGAAGAAUUAAAUUGAAGGUCUCAGAAAUUAGAAAGAUCUCCCAUGCUUGUGUAUUGACAGGACAAAUGUUGUGAAAAUGUCCAUUUUGCCAAAAGCAAUUUACAGAUUCAAUUCAAUCCCCAUCAAUAUUACAAGUGAAUUCUUCACAGACAUAAAAAUGACAGUUUGCCAAUUUAUUUGGAAUAAAAUAAAUCCCAGGAUAGAGAAAACUAUUCUCAAAAAUAAAAGCAUUUUGGGGAAAUCACCAUCCCUGAGCUCAUGUUGUGUUACAGAGCAAUGGUGAUGAAAAACUGUAAUGUAUUGGUAUUGAGACAGGCAGGUAAAUAAAUGGAAUAGAAUUGAAGAUGCAGAAAUGAACCCACACAGCUAUGGCCACUUGGAAAUUGAUAAAAGAUCUAAAACCAUUCAGUGGAAAAAACGAUAGCAUUUUUUAAAAAAUUGUGCUGUUUCACCUGAAGGGCAGAAUGUAGAAGAAUGCAAAUUAAUCCAUUCUUAUCUCCUUGUACAAAGUUUAAGUAAAUGUGGAUUAAAGUCCUCCACAUAAAGAUCACCAGUGGAACAGGAAGCACUUGGUCCUGGUAAGACUGAAACCCCAGUGAAUGUGAUUGUUGGGGGAGGGUGUC